UGGAAAUGCACUGAAUUCUUGCCCUCAGUCCCACUCACAGCCUCUUCCCUCUGCCCCAACCCCCAUUUUUCCAUCGUGCAAGGCUCCUUGCAUUCCGUGUUCCCAGCCCACCCACGUGCUGUGCCCCACAGCUCUGUGCUGCCCCAACACUGUGCUCCACCUGCAUCCUCUCCAAGCUGCCCUCCUGCAGCACGCUGCCCAGCUCCCUCCUGCAGGAGGACAUUUUGCCUUUCAGUUACAGCACAAGUGGCUUCCAGUAACCAGAUUGAAGUGAUGAUUAUCCUUCACGAAAGAUGCCUACAACGCACCUCUGGGUAGUCAAGAAAAAUUCAGCUUCAAAUUAAUUUAUCUGAGAGAUCCCUUGAGAGGGAAUGUGGCUGCUGACUGGGAAACCUUAUCUGACAGCUCUGAACUAAGAGGUCACACGGGGCUGGGAAGCAUCUUGAUUGAAGAAUAGCCAUUAUCCUUUACUACGCACUAUGUCAUUUUUUCUCUCUCGAAAACAAAGCUGUUGAGAACAUUUGGUUGGACACCAUAUAGAUCUUUUAAAGUUUGUCCCUCGGUGUCUCAUAAAUGCUGGCAAUAUGACUGCGAAACUGGGAAGAAACACGUUGUGGAGACAUGCAAGUUAGUGAAAAAACAGAGGUGUGGAAGACACACAGGUAUAAAUCAGAUACUGAACCAUUUCUCACCUUCAAUUAGGCGGAUAUGCAAAAAGUUUCACUUACCAAAAUUUACCAUGAAUGCUGAAUUAUUAAACAAACAACCUAAAUUGGAUAUUGAAUACCAAUCAUUAGCACAAAGAGAAAAAACUUGCUCCCUUGAGACGAGACAAUCUAAUCAACCUACAGGAAAUAAAUACUGAAGAAGUUAAAUUUAGUGCUCACUAAGUGCUAUUUUAACCUCUCCGGCUCAGCAAGAUUUAAGAUUUGUCUCAGAAAAACAGUUCUCUCUUCUCAAAUGAACUUUACUCUCAUCCUUUCUUCCACUUUUUUAUGCAAUCAACAAGAAAUAAAGCAACAAAAUCCUAUACUGCAAUUACACUUCAACUGCAAUGGGGCAAAGGACGACCCUUCUCCAACCACUAGACGAAAACUAACACGUACUUUGAAGCCCCGGGUAAUUAUUACCGAUCAUCACUUGUCUGAUUUUGUUUUCAUGGAGGAACACUGCUGGCAGCAGCAAGUUUCUACCCACAGAACUACGCAGUGGAAACCCAAAUUAACAACAGAAUUGAUGGCUUUAAAACACAAACGUCAUCUGCCAGUGUCCUGCCACCUGCUCUGAAGGACCUCAGUGGUGUGAAGCUGAGCUCCAUAACUUUGUGCAGUUAAGACUGUAAGUGAUGUUUAAAUCAGAAAUGUACCACCAUUCGUCAACUGGAAAAGAGAGACUGAGCAAUCAUAUUCAAGAAAUAAUUCUGUCUGGCAGCUCUUAAAUGUACGGAUUCCACUGCACAUUGCUGUGAAGCAAAUAGCGAGCACUUAAUAGCGCAGAUCAAAUCCUGCAGAAAACAAACUGUAUCACAUUCCAGCUCCAGGUAGGAAUACCACUGCCAAAUGCGUGGCCCGGUACCACAAACCUCUCUAGAUGACCUCCAAACGCCGCAGGAAAUCUGUCUGGUGGAUGUCUCCAGCCCUAGGCAUCUAAGAGCCCUGAAGGUCUCCUGAAGGUCAACAGAACAGCUCUUCCCUGUACUAAGAGGAGUUUAUGGAGGGUGUCUAUGGGAGGGGCCAUCCGUCUUGAAGGGAGUCCUGAUGAGGACCAGCUCAAGUCCACCAAAGCACAAUUUUAUUGUGAGCGGGCGGACUCAUUUCAGCUAUUUUAUUCUGUACUGGGUACAAAAAAAGAUACCUUACCCUUUAAUAACCCUUCCCAAAAUUGUUCAGAUACGCACUCUUCACAAACCACGAUGCUUUCAAACUUAACAGAAAUAGGGAACUCCUGGCAUUUCCCAACGCUUGCCAUGGCUCUGGGCACAGCUCCCAGGGCACUGCCGCAGAGCAGCAGCUCACACUCCUCACUGCAGCGCCAGUCCUGCUGCCAUUAACAAGACAAGCUGCAGAAUACAGAAGAAAUGCAUACAUGGCAACUGGCAUAUUUGUUGUGUGAUGUUUUGCAGCCCUCCGCCAUUCCUUUGCUCAAAUUCGGUUCUUCUCAAAGUAAUUUGUUCCACCAGCACGCUUCGUGUGCUGCCCAUCAGGGAGCAGAACGCAGAAAAGGCGAUCAAAGUGUUGCUAAACUAAAUGAGACAAAUUACUGGCAAACUGGCUUCUUCAUCCUGUUUUCUCCUUCUUGGCUUUAUUAUUCUCAUGUAGCAAAACACGACAAUCUCAAAUAUCCUUGCCACAGAAACACCAGUUAUUCAGGGCUAAGAGCCAUGAGGAUUAAGCCGCGAACAAAACUAUGCAUCCAAAUGCACGACGUUUUAGACAAAUGUACACAACAAGCUUGAAUUAUUUUCACUUGAGUGCUAAGACUGCUAGAAAAUGAAAAAGCUUAAAAAGUUCUGCCGCACUUAUUUCCUUGUCGUUGUUUUACAUAAUUAAUGGAACCUCUGGACCACUUAAACGCUUCAUCACUGCCCAUUUAACAAACACAAAAAGAUGCCUCUUGCUCCGGAGAAAGCCGCUUGGCACCAGCAAGGAAACAGCCCGAUUCAUCCCAAACAAAGGUUAACAACCGGGAAGCAAAAGCAAAGCUCUAACGGAACGCUGUCCCGGCCACACGAGCCCCCAGAUGACAGGGAGCGUUGGCUGGACGCAGUCCCGGCUGAUGCCCGCACACACACGGCGUGACUGUGACUACCCGGCUGUGGAUUGCAGAGCCAUGAGCCCGGCGGGGCGAGCAGUCGGCCUGCCUGCAGAGAAGCCUGCAGAAAGGCCAGGGCCUUUCCACGAGGGAAAAAACCCGCUGGAUUUCAGGUGACAUAAAGGAGCUACCAGCCACGUGCCACUGCCCUCGAUGAAUGCCCUUGUUGAACUCUCAGGAUAAGCAGAGGCGAAGUCAGAAUGACGAGGCCAGAAAUGGCGAAGUGUUACCGGCGCGUGUGAGCAGUUGUGGUGUUACUAAGCUCCGACAUGUGAUAUGGAAAACACACCAGUCUAUCCGAAAUUGUCUCUAAUCAAAAUCAGUAAACACUGAUUGCCAGGGAAUGAGCAAUUCAUAUAAACAGACAUUCCCCCGUAUUUUCACAUGCACAGAGGAUGAUUAUUCACACACUAUUCCACCAACUCUGUUUCAGCAUCCUUCAUUAUGGACCCAAAACUGAAUCCACGCUCUGAAACAAUGGAAAAACUGCUAAGAAUAGUGCCUGCCGAGAGGGCUGGGAGUGGUUUUAGACCCUACUUAAAUGUUUCUUCCAUCACACUACUUUUGCUGUUAGUUUCAGCGCUAUCAGCUGCAAUUACAAACAUAAAAUAUUGUAAUCCUGUUUAUAACCCAACUCUGCAACAACCAUAAACUCACA
rnacentral:lncRNA from 1 species